rnacentral:RNase_P_RNA from 1 species
AAAGCAAACCGGCUUAUCGUGCUGACGGUUACCGUCAGUAAGGAAAGUCCGGGCAACACAGGGCACCGUACUUCCUAACGGGAAGGCCCCCGACUUGUCGGGAGACAGAGAGCGCCACAGAAAACAAACUACCCGUUGCAACUUGAUUGCGGCAGGAAAAGGUGAAAAGGCGGGGUAAAAGCCCACCGCCCGGGUGGUGACACCCGGGGCAUGGCAAGCCUUACGGGUUGAAAGGCCAAAUAGGUCCCGAUGAUGGAACUGCCCGUUCCUUGAACAGUUUUCUGCUCUAUCGGGAUUGGGUAGGCUGAUUGAUCCUGGUGGCGACAUCAGGGCUAGAUAAAUGAUAAGCACCCCGACUAAAGUCGGGGAACAGAACCCGGCUUACAGGUUUGCUUUUUUA